rnacentral:rRNA from 1 species
AUGGAAGCACUAUGGGUUGUUGCCUUGGCCAUGGCCGUAGCAUUCAUCCUGUGGGCGUACAGAUGGAGCCACCCCAAGGCGAAUGGCCGGCUGCCUCCGGGCUCCCUCGGCCUCCCUCUCCUCGGCGAGACCAUGCAGUUCUUCGCCCCUAAUCCUACCUGCGACGUCUCCCCCUUUGUCAAGGACAGGGUGAACAGGUACGGUACCAUCUUCAAGACCAGCGUCGUCGGCCGAGCGGUGGUGGUGUCGGCCGACCCGGACCUUAACCACUACGUGUUCCAGCAGGAGGGCAAGCUGUUCGAGAGCUGGUACCCAGCCACCUUCACCGAGAUUUUUGGCCGCGACAACGUCGGCUCCCUGCACGGGUUCAUGUACAAGUACCUCAAGACCCUCGUGCUCCGCCUGUACGGCCAGGAGAACCUCCGGGCUGUGCUCCUCGGCGACACGGACACUGCCUGCCGCGCCACCCUCGCCUCCUGGGCUGGCCAGCCGAGCGUCGAGCUCAAGGACGGCCUCUCCACCAUGAUCUUUGACAUUACCGCGAAGAAGCUGAUCGGUUACGAGCCAACCAAGUCGUCCGAGAGCCUGAGGAAGAACUUCGUGGCCUUCAUCCGGGGGCUUAUCUCCUUCCCGGUGAACAUCCCCGGCACCGCGUAUCAUGAGUGUAUGAAGGGGAGAAGGAACGCCAUGACCGUGCUCAAGAGGAUGAUGAGGGAGAGGCUGGCGGACGAGGGGAGGCAGCGUGAGGACUUCCUCGACGUGAUGAUCGAGGAGCUGAGGAGGGAGAAGCCUGUGCUCACCGAGACCGUGGCGCUGGACCUAAUGUUCGUGCUCCUCUUCGCGAGCUUCGAGACGACUGCCUUGGCCCUCACGCUAGGCAUCAGGCUCAUUACCGAGAACCCGAGGGUGCUCGAGGUGUUAACGGAGGAGCAUGAGGCGAUUGUUAGGGACAGGAAGGACCCGGAUGCCGGCCUCACGUGGGCAGAGUACAAGUCCAUGACCUUCACCUCUCAGGUCACGUUGGAGAUAGCAAGGAUAGCCAACAUCGUGCCCGGGAUUUUUCGGAAGGCCUUGCAAGACAUUGAAUUCAAAGGCUACACUAUUCCAGCAGGGUGGGCAGUCAUGGUGUGCCCUCCAGCAGUGCAUCUAAAUCCCGAAAUCUACGAGGACCCAUUGGCGUUUAACCCAUGGAGGUGGCAGGAUAAGACGGAAAUCACCGGUGGAACAAAGCAUUUCAUGGCGUUCGGUGGGGGUCUCAGGUUCUGCGUCGGAACCGACCUCAGCAAGGUCCUGAUGGCGACCUUCAUCCACUGCCUGGUGACAAAAUACAGAUGGAAGACGGUAAAAGGAGGUAACAUAAUGCGUACCCCAGGGCUGAGCUUCCCAGAUGGCUUUCACAUUCAGCUCUUCCCUAAGAACUGA